ACAGCAGCAGCCACGGUAAUACGUAGGGUGCGAGCGUUAAUCGGAAUUACUGGGCGUAAAGCGUGCGCAGGCGGUUUUGUAAGACAGGCGUGAAAUCCCCGGGCUCAACCUGGGAAUGGCGCUUGUGACUGCAAAGCUAGAGUGCGGCAGAGGGGGAUGGAAUUCCGCGUGUAGCAGUGAAAUGCGUAGAUAUGCGGAGGAACACCGAUGGCGAAGGCAAUCCCCUGGGCCUGCACUGACGCUCAUGCACGAAAGCGUGGGGAGCAAACAGGAUUAGAGACCCCCGUAGUCCCUGUCUCUUAUAC
rnacentral:rRNA from 1 species